GACGAACGCUGGCGGCGUGCUUAACACAUGCAAGUCGAACGAAGUGGCGAACGGGUGAGUAACGCGUAAUCCACCUGCCCUUCAGAGGGGGACAACAGUUGGCAACGACUACUAAUACCGCAUACUGAAGGAGGGGAUUGGGUCUGAGUCGCUCGUUGGAGGGGUAACGGCCCACCAAGGCGAUGAUCAGUAGUCGGUCUGAGAGGAUGAACGGCCACAUUGGGACUGGGACACGGCCCAGACUCCUACGGGAGGCAGCAGUGGGGAAUCUUUCGCAAUGGACGAAAGUCUUACGGAGCAACGGCGCGGGAGUGAUGACGGCCUUCGGGUUGUAAAGCUCUGUUAAGCGGGACGCGGUACCGGAAUAGAAAGCCACGGCUAACUACGUGCCAGCAGCCGCGGUAAUUC
rnacentral:rRNA from 1 species